GUCAGUACAGCCUAGUGGUCUAAGGCGCCAGACCCAAGUUCUGGUCUCCAAAAGGAGGUGUGGGUUCGAUUCCCACUUCUGACA